UUUUUAGAUUUUCUGCAUUGUGGCAGCGCCAUUCAACCAUUUGAUGUGCGCGUUGACGUCUUGACACACACGCUUGUUUGAAUCUGCUGAGAUAUGAGUAUCUUUAAAGAGAUACCAUUGGACCAGACCAGAUCCUGGACGGGGUUCGGUGUUGGACUCGCUGUUGGUGUCGUCGCUGCGGCAGCAGUUGGUUACUUGUGGAAAUAUUCCAAAUACAGAUGCAACACGGAUGACUACCUGCAACCCGGUGGUGUGAACACUAGUCAGCAGCUGACCAUUCUCAGUCGGUCCUCAUCGCGACCGGUGACACCGGUACAUUCCCUGAGAUCAGGAGACUCGGGACGCGGUGCUGCCCAGCACGCCUCGCCAGGCAGCCCCCACCACGAUGCCGCCAGAAGGCAUGAUGGGAGGUUGGACGUUGGCAGGGAGCGCGGAGUGGAAUACACUGACAACCAGGGUUUGUUGCAUCUCCUCUACAACAUGGCCGAGGACCAGUCUAGAAAAGAGAGUUACGUCCAUCGUGGCAUCUCCUGCAACCAGUGUAAUGCAAGCCCCAUUUGUGGAAACAGGUUCAAGUGUGCCAACUGCAUAGACUAUGACAUCUGCGAGAGGUGUGAGGCUCACGACAGGCACAACAGAAGGCACGUCUUCAUCAAGAUCAAGAUUCCAAUUCCACCCCUUGCCAAUCCCAGAAAUGCCCUCGUCAAACCCUUCUAUCCAGGUAAAGAGCUCCAGAGAAGAAGGCUAACAUUGGAUGAAAUGCAACGUCUUAAGUCAACAACAUACUUUGACCAGCAUGAAAUUGAAGCUCUCUUUGACCAGUACCGAACGCUCUGCACCAAAGACAGGGGAAUAACAAGGGAUGUGUACGAUCUUUGCUUGGGACCAAUAGGACUGGAGAAGAAUCUGGUCAUGGAUAGACUAUUCAAGUUCUAUGAUGCCAACGGUGACGGUUACAUUGACUUUGAGGAGUUUGUGCGUGGCCUGUCGAUUCUCAUCAAAGGAACCCCAGAGGAGAAAGUUAGAUAUGCUUUUGAAGGUUAUGACCUGGAUGGUGCUGGCUGUGUCAGUCGUGACAACUUGAGGAAGAUGUUCAAGGCGUACUUCUACAUCACGAUAGAACUCGUCCGAGAUGUCGUCAAGGCAUGCGAAGAGGAAAUGAUGGCAAAUUUUGAUGACACCCAAGGCAGACCUGUGUCCUCUCUCUUCAGUGCCCCAAUCCCCACUGACACCGGGCCAGACCCCAGCCAAAUCACAAAGACCCCCUUCCCUGGUAACCCAGGGAGCAGAGAGGAUAUGUGGCCCGUUAUGGAAGCUAUGUCUCAAGACGCCAUCGAAGAAAUGGUGGAGAACAUCUUCAGGACAGCCAAUGUUGACUUGGACCAAAGAAUCACGCUGCAACAGUUUCGGGAGCUGACCGCUGUGGACAGCAGCCUUCUUGCCUGGUUCGAUGCCUUAGGGACGGUCUUCUAGCCACACACUGCCCCCCUGCCCUCAGAGCCUUCUUUUUAGAUUAAAGAUCUGAUGGGGGCUGUAGUGCAUGGAUGACGUAAAGGGAUUGGCAGGAGUGACGAGACCAAGUAAUCACUGCUGCUGUCCCAAGAGUUGACUGAGCUUGGCUGAGUUCAUCUAUUAUUGACCACAUAUGCCCUCGGCUUUCGGCGGACAGCUGUGUCUAGUCACCGUGUCACCAGUUAUGACAGCAUAGGAUAGAUUAGCUGCAUUAUGGUGAUCAGAUUGUGUCUGAGCUCACUUAAUGUAUCCUAGUGGCAUCUCAUGUUGAAAUGGAUAGUGGUUCAUUUUGGAUAGUCAGUAGAAAUAGCUGAAAAUCUAGGUACUGGAUUUUGAUGUAAGGAAAGUGACGUGUGUUAAAUUAACAAGGGAACUUUAUUAACCCACAUUUCCACUCACGGUAAAAAUGUGUACUUUUCACACAGUCUCAGACUAAAAGGUGUAUAUACUGACUUCGGGCAUUUCUCAAUCAAGAUAUAAUAUGGGGUUGCAUAAAGGCAAGCUCCAACUUGAUAGCUGUGUAAAUGUGAAUACAAAUUGUUGACAUUAUGGCUGGUCAAAUUUAGGAAGGCUGCUCACGUUUUAGCUUCAGCAAAUUUCAUUGUGAUUUUUGUGAACUUCAAAGUUGCUCAGCAUUCACAUUCGAGUGAAGCCGGAAUUGGCUGCAAUGUCAGACAUUUUUUGUCAAACCUGUAUAUUGUCAUCAAUACUCCUUGCACUUUGCCGAUUCUCAAUUGCGGCAGUUGAUAAAUUAACAGUUGAAUUCAGGGAAGGUAACAUGAAACCUAAUACAUUAAUUUCUUCAUUUACUUCAUUUGAUAUUAUUGACAUCACUUGUUAUCAGGAAAGUAACACUCAAUUAAAUUAUUUGUUCUUAACUUAUUUUCAUCCUUGUUUCUUUAACUCAAGGCUUGAAACAAGCUGUCUUUUUUCCUCUAAACCUUCAUAAAUAACUUCUUUUAGUGUGAAUUAUAAGAUGAAAGUUUCGUAGUUGUGGAGUUUAGAUAUUUCAUCCUGUGGGGACAUUGUACUUUUUACCAGUGAAUGGUACCUCGAUUAUUUCAAGCCCUAAUUUCUUGUUGUUUGUUUUAUCAACAAUCAUUUCAUUAACCAGAAGUGUAAAAUAAAUGUAUGCCCAUGGCUGGCUGUCCUCUGUAGCUGGCUUGUUAGACGUCAGAGUAAAUGCCAGGCUUUGACUUUUGGCCAGGCAUUCAGAGUGACUUGACUGAUAUUCAUUAUUCAGUAAGCCAUUGUGAGUGGCAGAACUGAGCAGGCAUGCACAUCAUAGCCUUUUGAUUAUGUUAAUUUCAUAGCCAGAAUGAACAAAUGGAAGAGAAAAAAAGGGAACUUAACAUACAAAUGGAACAAAAAAACAAAGAAAUGAAAUUCUACGUCCCUUUUGUGAAUGUUGCUUGUACAGAACUCAGGGUUAUUUUGACAUUUGAAUUUCAUCAUUAACCCAUAACCCAUUCAAAUCCAUCAUUUUUGCAAAUAUUUAUUUUGUUUUUCAUUCACCAGGACUAAUGCCAGUUGCCAAGGAAACCCACUGCAUGCUGUUACCAUGGAAAUAUGAAAAUGACUGCACAACUAAUCUCCACGGCAAUUAAUAAUUAAUGAGCUUUAUUUAUACCAAUAUGUAAACAUGCAGAAUGAAGAAUACUAUGCACUUUAAUAAAUUCAUAUUGUAAGCAUUAUUGUUACGUUUCACUAGUUAACUCAUCCAUGAAUUUGUUUUCAGUUGGGGAUUAAGGGAAAACAUCAUCCAUUGUAAAUUUUGGGCUACAGAAGUUGAGGAUUAGUUCCUCAUCUGGGCCCAAUUUCAUGGCGCUGCUUACCGCAAGCAAAAAAUGUGGGCUUAUGGGGAAUGUAUUUCACAGGUUAGCGAGGAAUUUGGGCUUGUGCGCAUGCGUACAUCCCGUAACUAAGGAUUCUGUG